rnacentral:rRNA from 1 species
GUUGAAAGCUCCGGCGGUGAAGGAUGAGCCCGCGGCCUAUCAGCUUGUUGGUGGGGUGAUGGCCUACCAAGGCGACGACGGGUAGCCGGCCUGAGAGGGCGACCGGCCACACUGGGACUGAGACACGGCCCAGACUCCUACGGGAGGCAGCAGUGGGGAAUAUUGCACAAUGGGCGAAAGCCUGAUGCAGCGACGCCGCGUGAGGGAUGACGGCCUUCGGGUUGUAAACCUCUUUCAGCAGGGAAGAAGCGCAAGUGACGGUACCUGCAGAAGAAGCACCGGCUAACUACGUGCCAGCAGCCGCGGUAAUACGUAGGGUGCGAGCGUUGUCCGGAAUUAUUGGGCGUAAAGAGCUCGUAGGCGGCUUGUCACGUCGGUUGUGAAAGCCCGGGGCUUAACCCCGGGUCUGCAGUCGAUACGGGCAGGCUAGAGUGUGGUAGGGGAGAUCGGAAUUCCUGGUGUAGCGGUGAAAUGCGCAGAUAUCAGGAGGAACACCGGUGGCGAAGGCGGAUCUCUGGGCCAUUACUGACGCUGAGGAGCGAAAGCGUGGGGAGCGAACAGGAUUAGAUACCCUGGUAGUCCACGCCGUAAACGUUGGGAACUAGGUG